CAUUGUGUAACAACCCGCCCCGUGGGAACUAACCGCCCCAUGGACUCCAGGCUGGCCCUGCAGGGUUGUGAGCCUGGGUCUGCGGGACAUGGCAUUUUAUAAUUGAGGAGUUCCAAAAGUGUCAUUUAGAGCAUCCCAUUGGUAAAUUCUUUGGGGAGUGUACAGAGCUGAAAGUAAAGAAAGCUGUGAAGCGGAAGGUAAAUUUCGAACGAAGCAAGAAGCUUCAAGAAAGGCUCAAAACUAUAAGGAAAGAAGAAACUGCGGAGACUUGAGUUUUGUUGGAUACUGAUCUCGAUGAAGAACAUAUGUUUAUUUUGAAAAGAACACGUUUAUCAUAGAUCCAGGAGGAAGAGUUUGAAUACACUUUUCGUCUCGUAAAUGAGCGAAAAACACGGGUUUAUACAUCUAUUGAUUAGGGUUUAAAAUGAGUUGGUUAUUGGAGUGUAUAAAGCUAAUUAGCUUGGAGUGUAAGGCUACUAUACUCUAUAAAAUGCAGUAAAUAAGAUAUCUUGGUCUACAAGAA